rnacentral:lncRNA from 1 species
AUCAAGUCAGACAAAAUCAUGAGUAGUUCUAAAGAUAUUUAGAACAUCCAAGUAAGCUUCGGCAGAAGAAAGAGAAAUAGAAAAGAUGAUCAGCAUUUCCAGCCUCGACAUCAUCCUCGUGCACAUCCUUGUGUACCAGACAAUCCACCCCAAUGUUGCUUCUCCCCACAGAAUUCAAAACAUCAUACAUCACUUUCCCCAUACCCCAAUCCCCAGAAUGCUUUUCCACCCCCACGAGCAUACUGAAA